rnacentral:rRNA from 1 species
CACGUCGAGCGGUAGCACANGGAGCUUGCUCCUGGGUGACGAGCGGCGGACGGGUGAGUAAUGUCUGGGAANCUGCCCGAUGGAGGGGGAUAACUACUGGAAACGGUAGCUAAUACCGCAUAACGUCUUCGGACCAAAGUGGGGGACCUUCGGGCCUCACACCAUCGGAUGUGCCCAGAUGGGAUUAGCUAGUAGGUGAGGUAAUGGCUCACCUAGGCGACGAUCCCUAGCUGGUCUGAGAGGAUGACCAGCCACACUGGAACUGAGACACGGUCCAGACUCCUACGGGAGGCAGCAGUGGGGAAUAUUGCACAAUGGGCGCAAGCCUGAUGCAGCCAUGCCGCGUGUGUGAAGAAGGCCUUCGGGUUGUAAAGCACUUUCAGCGAGGAGGAAGGG